rnacentral:tRNA from 1 species
UGUUAUGUGGCUUAGUUGGUUAAAGCGCUGGUCUAGCGAAUACGGGGACGUGGGUUCAAAUCCUACCAGAAUGC